rnacentral:rRNA from 1 species
CAGUCGCCACGGGAAUACGAAGGGGGCUAGCGUUGUUCGGAAUUACUGGGCGUAAAGGGCGCGCAGGCGGCGACGAUAGUCAGAAGUGAAAGCCCCGGGCUCAACCUGGGAAUUGCUUUUGAUACUGUGUUGCUUGAGUUCGGGAGAGGUGAGUGGAAUUCCCAGUGUAGAGGUGAAAUUCGUAGAUAUUGGGAAGAACACCGGUGGCGAAGGCGGCUCACUGGACCGACACUGACGCUGAGGCGCGAAAGCGUGGGGAGCAAACAGGAUUAGAUACCCGCGUAGUCCCUGUCUCUUAUAC